rnacentral:rRNA from 1 species
GGGGAAUAUUGCACAAUGGAGGGAACUCUGAUGCAGCGACGCCGCGUGAACGAAGAAGGCUUUCGAGUCGUAAAGUUCUUUUAUAUGGGAAGAUAAUGACGGUACCAUAAGAAAAAGCCCCGGCUAACUACGUGCCAGCAGCCGCGGUAAUACGUAGGGGGCUAGCGUUGUCCGGAAUCACUGGGCGUAAAGGGUUCGCAGGCGGAAAUGCAGGUCAGAUGUAAAAGGCAGUAGCUUAACUACUGUAAGCAUUUGAAACUGCAUAUCUUGAGAAGAGUAGAGGUAAGUGGAAUUUUUAGUGUAGCGGUGAGAUGCGUAGAUAUUAAAAAGAAUACCGGUGGCGAAGGCGACUUACUGGGCUCAUUCUGACGCUGAGGAACGAAAGCGUGGGUAGCAAACAGGAUUAGAUACCCUGGUAGUCCACGCUGUAAACGAUGAGUGCUAGGUGUCGGCGAAUGUCGGUGCCGCAGUUAACACAAUAAGCACUCCGCCUGGGGAGUACGUGCGCAAGCAUG